rnacentral:rRNA from 1 species
GACGAACGCUGGCGGCGUGCCUAAUACAUGCAAGUCGAACGCACGAAGUUGAAGAGCUUGCUCUUUAACCAAGUGAGUGGCGGACGGGUGAGUAACACGUGGGUAACCUGCCCAUUAGAGGGGGAUAACAUUCGGAAACGGAUGCUAAUACCGCAUAGUUUCAGGAAUCGCAUGAUUCUUGAAGGAAAGGUGGCUUCGGCUACCACUAAUGGAUGGACCCGCGGCGUAUUAGCUAGUUGGUGAGGUAAUGGCUCACCAAGGCAAUGAUACGUAGCCGACCUGAGAGGGUGAUCGGCCACACUGGGACUGAGACACGGCCCAGACUCCUACGGGAGGCAGCAGUAGGGAAUCUUCCGCAAUGGACGAAAGUCUGACGGAGCAACGCCGCGUGAGUGAAGAAGGUUUUCGGAUCGUAAAACUCUGUUGUUAAAGAAGAACAAGGAUGAGAGUAACUGCUCAUCCCCUGACGGUAUUUAACCAGAAAGCCACGGCUAACUACGUGCCAGCAGCCGCGGUAAUACGUAGGUGGCAAGCGUUGUCCGGAUUUAUUGGGCGUAAAGCGAGCGCAGGCGGUUCUUUAAGUCUGAUGUGAAAGCCCCCGGCUCAACCGGGGAGGGUCAUUGGAAACUGGAGAACUUGAGUGCAGAAGAGGAGAGUGGAAUUCCACGUGUAGCGGUGAAAUGCGUAGAUAUGUGGAGGAACACCAGUGGCGAAGGCGACUCUCUGGGUCUGUAACUGACGCUGAGCUCGAAAGCGUGGGGAGCAACAGG